rnacentral:rRNA from 1 species
CAAGGUUUCCCUAGGUGAACCUGCGGAAGGAUCAUUACAGUAUUCUUUUUGCCAGCGCUUAAAUGCGCGGCGAAAAAACCUUACACACUGUGUUUUUUUGUUACUGAAAAAACUUUGUUUUGGCUUGUCUCUAGAAAAAGAGUUGGGCCAAAAGUUAACAUAAACUUCAAAUUAUUUGAAAUAUUUAUCUGAACUUAAAAGUCACUUUGUUUGAUUGAUUUCAAAAAAAAAUUUAAAACUUUCAACAAAGGAUCUCUUGGUUCUCGCAUCGAUGAAGAACGCAGCGAAAAGCGAUAAGUAAAAUGAAAUGCAGAUUUUCGUGAAACAUCGAAACUUUGAACGCACAUUGCGCCCUUUGGUAUUCCAGAGGGCAUGCCUGUUUGAGCGUCAUUUCUCUCUCAAACCUUAGGGUUUGGUAUUGAGUGAUACUCUUAGUCAAACUAAGCGUUUGCUUGAAAAGUAUUGGCAAGAGUGGUACUAAAAUAGUGCUUCAGAUUUUUCAAAGUAUUAGGUUUAUCCAACUCGUUGAAAAGUCUGAUGGCAAGUGUUUAGUAGCAUUGGCUCGGCCUUACAACCAACAAACAAGUUUGACCUCAAAACAGGUAGGAAAACCCCCUGAACUUAAGCAUAUCAA